rfam:Cucumis sativus cultivar 9930 chromosome 4, whole genome shotgun sequence.
GUCCCUUCAGAGACAUUAGACAAAAUUGGAACGAUACAGAAAACAUAGCAUCGCCACUGCAUAAGGAUGACACACGUAUAUCGAGAAAUGAUCCAAAAAAAA